rnacentral:rRNA from 1 species
GUAGGGAAUAACUGCGGGAAACUGCAGCUAAUACCCUAUGCUCCCUACGGGGAAAAGAUUUAUCGCCAUUGGAGGGGCCCGCGUCGGAUUAGCUAGUUGGCGGGGUAAUGGCCCACCAAGGCUACGAUCCGUAGCUGGUCUGAGAGGAUGAUCAGCCACACUGGGACUGAGAUACGGCCCAGACUCCUACGGGAGGCAGCAGUGGGGAAUAUUGGACAAUGGGGGAAACCCUGAUCCAGCAAUGCCGCGUGAGUGAAGAAGGCCUUAGGGUUGUAAAGCUCUUUCGGCGGGGACGAUGGUGACGGUACCCGCAGAAGAAGCCCCGGCUAACUUCGUGCCAGCAGCCGCGGUAAUACGAAGGGGGCUAGCGUUGUUCGGAAUCACUGGGCGUAAAGGGCGCGUAGGCGGCGCGACAAGUCAGGCGUGAAAGCCCCGGGCUCAACCCGGGAAUUGCGCUUGAUACUGUCGUGCUUGAGGCCGGGAGAGGAUGGCGGAAUUCCCAGUGUAGAGGUGAAAUUCGUAGAUAUUGGGAAGAACACCGGUGGCGAAGGCGGCCAUCUGGACCGGUUCUGACGCUGAGGCGCGAAAGCGUGGGGAGCAAACAGGAUUAGAUACCCUGGUAGUCCACGCCCUAAACGAUGUCAACUGG